CAAUAUCUUCCUUCUCCAGUGAGGCCGCAUAUAUCACGCAUUUGUGUUUUGGGUUUUUUUGACUAAAGAGUUCGCAAACAUGGCGGCAUUAAUGACUUGACCCAAAGCAGUGUUUUAGACAGAUUUAUUUCAGGAAUCAAGCAUAUCUGACGACAACAGCAUUAAACAACAGACAUGUGUACAUUGAUAUGGCAGCAUUGGACAAUGUUUUUAUCACAAUACACUUGGUUCUGGCAAAAAGGCUGAUGGUGACACACUUUGACAUGGACUUAAACCCAACAGUCCCAGUUCGUGUGCUGAAGGAGGAACUCGUCAGACAGCUGCAGAUUCCAGUUUCUCAGCAGCAGUGGUAUCAUCGUAAUAACUUCAUCCCCGAUGAUGCAAGUCUUGAGAGAGCAGGUGUUAUGAAUGACAGCAUUGUUGAAGUACGGCCAGCACAUCAAAGUCUGCAGCGGACAAGUGAUCAGCCUUCAUCACGUUUUCAAGCGCCAUAGCAGCCAUAUAUGAUGACUGUAGAGCUCAAAUAAAGAAUUCAUUUUUCUCUGAA